CCAGACUCCUACGGGAGGCAGCAGUGAGGAAUAUUGGUCAAUGGGCGAGAGCCUGAACCAGCCAAGUCGCGUGAGGGAAGACGGUCCUAUGGAUUGUAAACCUCUUUUGUCGGGGAGCAAAAAGGCCUCGUGAGGCCACAAGUGAGAGUACCCGAAGAAAAAGCAUCGGCUAACUCCGUGCCAGCAGCCGCGGUAAUACGGAGGAUGCGAGCGUUAUCCGGAUUUAUUGGGUUUAAAGGGUGCGUAGGCGGAAGGUUAAGUCAGCGGUCAAAUGUCGGUGCUCAACACCGGCCUGCCGUUGAAACUGGUCUUCUUGAGUGAGCGAGAAGUAUGCGGAAUGCGUGGUGUAGCGGUGAAAUGCAUAGAUAUCACGCAGAACUCCGAUUGCGAAGGCAGCAUACCGGCGCUCAACUGACGCUGAGGCACGAAAGCGUGGGGAUCGAACAGGAUUAGAUACCCCAGUAC
rnacentral:rRNA from 1 species